rnacentral:lncRNA from 1 species
CUUCAGUGGUAAGUUGCCGUACAAUUCAACUCUUUGAUCAUCCCUGCACCCUGAAUAUAUUCAUGAGUAUGGAAUUAUGUCAAACUCAAAUAUAUAUUCAUAUCGAUUCUCAAUUAAUCAAUGAUGACUCCAAUGAUGAAGCAUUAAAAAUUUUUUUAAUCUUCUUUCUACUUUUGGCCAAAAGAUAUUUUUUGAGUCAUCUAGGAAUGAGAAUAUAUAGGAUGCGAUCUCCUCUUACUAGGAGUGAUCGAUUUCAUGUUGAUCUACUUACAACCUUCAUACGCACUCCACC